CUCCUACGGGAGGCAGCAGUGGGGAAUUUUGGACAAUGGGGGCAACCCUGAUCCAGCAAUGCCGCGUGUGUGAAGAAGGCCUUCGGGUUGUAAAGCACUUUUGUCCGGAAAGAAAACUUUCGCCCGAAUACGGUGGAGGGAUGACGGUACCGGAAGAAUAAGCACCGGCUAACUACGUGCCAGCAGCCGCGGUAAUACGUAGGGUGCGAGCGUUAAUCGGAAUUACUGGGCGUAAAGCGUGCGCAGGCGGUGAUGUAAGACCGAUGUGAAAUCCCCGGGCUUAACCUGGGAACUGCAUUGGUGACUGCAUUGCUGGAGUAUGGCAGAGGGGGGUGGAAUUCCACGUGUAGCAGUGAAAUGCGUAGAGAUGUGGAGGAACACCGAUGGCGAAGGCAGCCCCCUGGGCCAAUACUGACGCUCAUGCACGAAAGCGUGGGGAGCAAACAGGAUUAGAUACCCUGGUAGUCCACGCCCUAAACGAUGUCAACUGGUUGUCGGGCCUUCAUUGGCUUGGUAACGUAGCUAACGCGUGAAGUUGACCGCCUGGGGAGUACGGUCGCAAGAUUAAAACUCAAAGGAAUUGACGGGGACCCGCACAAGCGGUGGAUGAUGUGGAUUAAUUCGAUGCAACGCGAAAAACCUUACCUACCCUUGACAUGUACGGAACCUGGCUGAGAG
rnacentral:rRNA from 1 species